rnacentral:rRNA from 1 species
UACGUAGGGGGCAAGCGUUGUCCGGAUUUAUUGGGCGUAAAGAGCGUGUAGGCGGCCAGGUAGGUCCGCUGUGAAAACUCGAGGCUCAACCUCGAGAUGUCGGCGGAAACCAUCUGGCUAGAGUCCGGAGAGAGGAGCGAGUCUCGGUGUAGCGGUGAAAUGCGCAGAUAUCAGGAGGAACACCGGUGGCGAAGGCGGCGUCUCGGCGG